rnacentral:rRNA from 1 species
GGGAACCUCACCCGGCCCGGACACCGCGAGGAUUGACAGACUGAGAGCUCUUUCUCGAUUCGGUGGGUGGUGGUGCAUGGCCGUUCUUAGUUGGUGGAGCGAUCUGUCUGGUUAAUUCCGAUAACGAACGAGACCCCAACCUGCUAACUAGCCCUCGGGUCCUGCUUCUGUUGGGCCCGACGGAAUGAUUCGCUUCUUAGAGGGACUCGCGGCGCCUGGCCGCACGAAGGGGGGCGAUAA